rnacentral:rRNA from 1 species
UACGGGGGGGGCAAGCGUUGUUCGGAUUCACUGGGCGUAAAGGGUGCGCAGGCGGCCAAGUGUGUGAGGCGUGAAAGCCUGGGGCUUAACUCCAGAAUUGCACCUCAAACUACAUGGCUAGAGCAUUGGAGAGGGUAGCAGAAUUCACGGUGUAGCAGUGAAAUGCGUAGAUAUCGUGAGGAAUACCAGAGGCGAAGGCGGCUACCUGGACAAUUGCUGACGCUCAGGCACGAAAGCGUGGGGAGCAAAAGGG